CGGGGACUCGGUGCGGAGCCGGGGCGCCGAGUGUCUCCGUGUCCCUCUGCCCCAGCCGGCGGCCGCGAUGGUGGAGCUUGGCCUCUCGCUCUCUCCCGCCUCUCCAGCGACUGCUCUGCCGGCCGCGGAGGUCGGAUCGAGCGGUCAUUCAUUCAUUUGUUAAUUCGUUCACUUAUUCAGGGGAGAUCAUUGAACCCCUACGGAGUACCGGGUACUGGGCCGGGCGCUGAGGACGCGGGGCUGAGCAAAAGCAGCCGAGGCCCACCUUCGUGCCCCUUAAAACCCAGCGUGCGGGGCGGCAACGAGUACUGCUUUUCUGUUUUGCACUUAAAAUUUACAUUUUGCAUCCGUACUUUUUAUUUACUGUGCACCCUUACGGCAUGCUUUACGCACCCGUACCUGCACCUCCUAGCCUUGAGUGUAGACACCAGAUCCUGAGAUGGGCGAUUUUUCGAGAAUAAUUUUUACCCUAAGUGGAUUUUCGUGCCACGCAUGGACUUGGAACUACACACACGUAGUCCAAAACGUGAAAGUCAAAAUGCAGCUUUGCCAAGUGGCAGGGAGAAAGGAGAGCUGAGAAGAUGAGGAGAGGAAGGGCGCGCUCCAGGCUUUCCAGCCCGGGUGCGGUAGACGUAGCCCUGAAGGAUGAACCCAGGCUGGUAGUAGGGCGGCGGGAGGGCGGGGGGACCUGUCAGUCAAGUCCAAAGCAGAAACGCGGCGCCGGAUCCCAGUCAGAGGCCGGCUGGAACGCUUCCCACAGGCUCCUGGCGCUCCGGUCCCCACCAGGCGACCUUGAUCCUGGCGUGCUCAGCGGAGCCAGCGCAGCGUCGGGAGCUGGAGAGACGCGGGGCGCCGGCUGAGCGCUCCUGCCCUCUGCCUCUGGGCUAGCCUCUGGCCCGGCCUCCCGGCCUCCCCCAGGGUACGCUCUCCCCCAAGAGCGAACACCAGCUUUGGGAUCGCCAGCAGCCACGUCUCUGCUUCUAGAUCUCUUUUUUUUUUCUUUGAGACUUAGUUGAUAGCUGUUUAAGGAAUUAUGUGGAGGAAAUCUCACCUCCGACCCCCGCCCCCGUUGAGCACGGCCGGCCAGGGUCGCUGGGUGGGCCAGGAGGAAAGAAAGGGGCGGGGAAGAAGCAGCAAUUUUACUUUAAAUUAAAAUGACACAAAAAUAUUUUUUCAACUCAGAUCUUUCUGAGACAUCCCCAGAAAGCGUUGCAAGCUGUGAUUACACCUAAUGUGAGAGCAUGAACUAAUUUAAGAGGUGAGAGCUGCAUAAUGAGGCUGCCUCCCGUGUAGCAGCCAAGACUGGCAGCUCUGGCGGCGCGCUGGAGGGGACCGGGAGGGGCACCCUUGUAGAACCAGUCCCUGGCGCCCUGGGAUCUUCUCAGUGCCCUGGCGCUGUGUUGUCGGUCACUCCACAGAUAUUACAGGGUGCCUCCUGAAUGCCGGGUUGCAAUCAAGAGCAAGAGAUGGGGCGAGUGAAAGAGCCUGUUUUCAGGAGCUCAGCAUCAGGAUGACGAUUACCUAGAGGGAGGUGGUGGCCAGCCUCCCCCUCUUCUCUUCAUGCUGAGGCUCUGGUGGGCAGUGCCCAAGCCUGAACUGCCAUCUGUAUGCCAGUGGUUACCCAACUUGUAUUUUCAGUCUUAGCCUCUCUCUGGUCCAGACUUGUCAUUCUAAGGGCCCUUUUUCACUGACUCACAUUGUCUCCUCCCUCCCUGCCUUCCAAACUCAGCCUUUUCCUUUUUCCCUUUCCCACUGACAACAGCUGCACGACCCCCCCGCCCCCCCACGAGGUGAAAAUUCCCAAGAACCCCAUGUCUAACCUAACUCCCUCUCUAUGUCCUGUUGCUUGAGCCAUUCUCAUUAGGCUGCCUGUUCGGAGUUCAUUAUCUCCUAAUUUUUCAUCCAGGAAUUGAUGAAGAAUCACCUACUGCCUCUCCCACACACUGUUUAUUCUUUCAUUUGAUGAUAUCUGUUAAGUGCCCUGAGAUAUGUAACCUCCACUUCCCUCCCAUAUAAGUGAGAUUUCACGUUGAUUACUUCCUUGGCUUUCCUCAUCCCUUAUCCACAUAGCAUGUGUUCAAAAUAAUGAAUAUUAAUUUAAUGUUAAUAGAUAUGUGCUUUCCUGAAUUGUGAGGAUUAAAUGAAAUCAUGUAUAUAGGGAGGAAAAUCCAUUAGAAACCUCAAAAGCAGUUAUGUUUAUUUUUGCUAUUGUCACAUUGUUAGAGUCAGAAUUCUUUUAGCUGCAAGUGACAAAACCAACUCAAACUGGCUUAAGGACUUUAUUGGUUGAUGCAAAAAGCCUCGGGUUAGGUCUUGCCAUUUAAGGUAGGGCUGGAUCCAUCAAUCCGGGUUACCAGGAUCUGUUUUCUAGUUGUGGCUUCAUUUUCAGACAAGUUGUUUCCAUAUGAUAGCCUCAUAGAAGGUACUACCAGCUUAGUCCUAGCAAGAAAAAAGAGUACUUACUCUUCAAUAUUUGCAGCAGAAGUCCCAGGUCUGUUCUUAUGAGGGCAGUUUGAGUCACUUGCUCUUCUCUGAACGUGGAGAAGGCACUGUUUAGAUGAUGGAGGUUGGAUUCAGGUGCAUCCCCUGGAAUGGGGUUUGGCAUUAGCUUCACGUGGUCUAGAAUAAAGGGGUUCUCCAAAGGAAAAUUAGGGUAGGAAUGCUGAGUAAGCAGAACAAACAGAUGUCUACUUUAGUCCUUCCCAAAGGGUGAGCUGCAAUACAUUGCAGACUAUCAGAAUGGUGAUGAACACGGAUGCAGUAGCCAAGAAAAUAGAUGUGUGUUUGUCGUGGUCUUUUUCAGUCUUCAAGAUCUCAGUUAAACAUGAAGUCAACCACUCACUAUGAUGUUAUUUGAGGUUUAGCUUUGAAGUGGAAAUGUACCACAAAUAGUAGAGCCAGAUAAAUACAAAUAAAUAAUUUUAACAGUCCAUUCUAAAAGAUUUCUUUGGUAAUAUUCUGUUGGAAUUGAUUUCUAUCUUUUCAUUUGUUAGGUUCCUGGAAAGUGAAAAUUUCAUUUCUUUGUGGACAGGUACCUAAAAUGUCUCAUUAUUCAUCAAUUAAUGAAAAACAAAUGAAAAUUUGAGAGAGAUAUUCUGAAGAAUAAAAGGAUCAAGUUGGGUCAUUUCUAAAAUGUAAGAUUAUAAGGUUUAACUUGCUAAGACUUUUGAGGGGUUGAAUUAUUGGUAAAUUAUUAUAGAACCACUUAUCUGAGGCUUUUAAAAGUGAUGUGUUACAGAGAUUUAGGGAACUGCAAGAUUGCAGAUAAAGAAUUUAUACUGUCAACUGUUCUAUACUUUACCUUCUGCUUUAAAUGCGGCCUUAUAUUUUGAAGUCAAACAUUUAUUUUCUCUCACUGCGUUCUGAAUUUCCUACCACAGUGCAUUUUGAGAAAUGAAUAUAACAGCAGUCUUCAUAGAUGCCAUAUUCAUGGCAACUCUGUCCCCCGCCAACACCACACCCUGGAAAAAAACCAACUUUCUAUUGUUGGAAUGAGGUAACAUUUUCAGGAAAAGGGAACCAUUUUCUCACAGGAUAUAGAACAAAUUCAACCUUUUAUUAAAUCAAAAUGGAUUCUCUAAUGUUUAUACAUAUCAUAUAGGAUUUCAUCUCUUUCAAUCUUGGUUCAAAGGCCCAGACAGUACCAUUCCCUAGUAUUUAGUCCAUUUGCUCAUAAAGCAGAAGAGAAAAGCUACUUUGUUCCGAAGGGUGUUAGAUUUAGGAUUCCAAGGUUAUUUCAAAUUAAUGCCUGGAACUAGACUAUAAAAUGCAGGAAAGAUUCUAAGUUGUUCAAAGAUGAAAUAUCUUAACUUUCACCAAAAACUCUGUCUUCUGGGUAUUUUUUGUUUUUCUGCCUUUCCAGAUUUAUUUUAAAUACAACAUUUUUGCUGUUUACAUUUUUAAAAGUUACAUUUCAAAAUUGUUCAUAAUUGGACACUUUCAUAAAAUGUAGGCAAAUGCAGUUUUACUUUUUAAUGAAGGACAAGUCUGUUGAUAACAUUUUGAUUCUUAAAAUUUUUUUUAUCUUAUAAAAAUGAAACAAUGCAUUUAAAGUGUCUUCAGCUCUUAUGUUAAUACCAAAUUAUACAUUUUCUUAGCCCAUGUUCAGGAGAGACAAUAUAUCUUCCAAAUUAAGAGAAGCUGGCACCAUUUUUAAAACAAGGCCUUGAAUCUGCUGUGGUAUGUGCUGGUAGGAAUUUUGUAUGAAGCUGUUAUUGAAGUAGAUGACAUUAAGGUCAAAGGAAAAAAAAAACAGAAAAUAAUGUAAUCCUACAGAGCUGCUCUUAAGAUCUUGAGAGAAAAACCACGUAGGUAACAUCAAACACUAGUUGGAAUCUUUCCAAGAAGUAAUUAUCUGUGUGCUGUUUGUGGUGGUUGAUUAUGGGAACAAACCAAGGUUUAGCCAAUUCAGCAAACAUUUAUGGAGUGCCUGCAAUGUGCAUGUCACUGUUUUAAGGCCUGUGCCUACUGUAAAGGUGACCCACACAUGAUGCCUGCCUUGCAGGACUUGGAGUUCAGCGAUAAUAAGAGAUGCAUACCUGAAAAGCCUAUUUAAGACUCUUCCGGUUCUACAAAGAAGGCUUCUUGAAAGUGGUAGCUUUGAUUACUCUUUGGAUUUAUUUACAUUUAUCCUAUAAUCAGAAGGUAUACAAAACAGACUCACACAUAUAUAAAAUUAAUAGAUUAGAUAGCAUUUAAACAAAUAUUUCAGGUAGGUACUUCAAAUGCAUUUGACAUUUAUCAAAGAAAUGGUAAGUGCUGUCAUCCGUGGGUGGCUGGAUUAACAUGUGGGACUACUUAUCACCAAUUUUGUUAGGGAUCUUAGGGAAAUUCCUGGAUCUUAUAUUCACAAGCAAUUGUAUAAAUACUUCCCACAGCUCAGAGACCUAAUAGGAUGGGGUCUUAGAGAAACAUCUUUUGAGCCACAGACUUCUUUGUUACCAGAAGGAAAAUGAAAGAAGAAAUUUAAAUACCACUUGAAGAGAGUUUCCUCAUCAGCAAAGUCAGAAAAAGUAUGUACCUGAAGGACUGAUUGUAAGGCUGGGAUGAGAGAAUCCAUGUGAUCAGCCCUCACCAACAGGUGCUGCCCAGUUCAUGAGUGCUGCUGCUGUCCUGCCCAAGUACCCAGCUUGCAGAGUGCCAGAGUUAGAGUCCCAGGGGUGUUCUCCACAGCUGCAUGCUUGAUCCAGGCCUAUCAGGUGAGUUGGCUCUUGGCUAGUGGUUUUUCUUCUCUUGCUGUACAAAAGUCCAGACAGUAAUGUCUUUUUUUCAUUUUUAUAGAUAUAUUCCAUUGAAAGUCCUCAUUCUCAAAUUUAAAACAAAGACUUUUUGUGUACCUCAAUAGCAAUGCACACACAGUUGGCUUCACAAACAUAUUGUACAUUUCUUUUUUUCAUAUUUAUUCAACAAAUGUAUAUUGACUACCCACCGUGUGACAGGUGUUAUUUGUUGACGGAACCAGGCAUCAUCAGCAAACAAAACUGACAAAGCUUCCUGCCCUCUGUGGAAGGCAUCUGAGGAAGAGACUGGAUUUUGUAGCAACAUGUUAUUCUCAUUAUAAACUUUAUCAUUGGAAUACUAAAGCCAAAUCAUCCCCCAUCUCCUUGAUCAGGAUACCCACUUAAUCUAGGCAGCUACACAAUUGUGAGAGCCUUUGUUUUUUUCUGCUGAAACAUCCUUAAAAAGAUACCUCACAACCCAAGAUUUGGCUUUUCUUAAAUACGAUUUUUAAUUUUUUUCAUUUCUAUCUAGAGAUUUAAUUGGAAAUGGAAAAUCAUCAAUUUUCCAAUUAAAUGUCUGUUCCAAUCAACAUUAUACCUUUUAGGUUGUCAUUGUCAUUUUUAAGUUUAAGCAACUUUAAGGAUUUUGAAUCUGGCUGCCUGUAAAUUAAAGGUGAAAGUAAUCA
rnacentral:lncRNA from 1 species